ACUGCAAGAGAGGACACUGGUUGGGGGUGAUGGUUUAGGAUGGGCGGUGCAGGGGGCAUACAGGGGGCGUUUGCUGGGCUGAGCAGGACUCUACCACAGGAAGGUUGAGAAGGGGGAACCGGAAUGUACCAGGUUGAGAAACUGGGGAAAAUGGUCAGAUCUGGGAUCAAACCAUAGAGAGGCAUCAGGAAGGUGAAAUCCAGAUCGGCAUUAGGCUGAACUAAGUGAAGGAGGUCUAGGGCUCUGUAUUGUACCACGUUGGGAAUCCAAAGAAGCGACCACUAGAUCACUGGGUUAAACCAUGGGGAUACAGCGGGCAGGGAAAAGGGUCGUACCACGUUGAUUCUCAGUAAGGGGGGAGGCUGUCAGGCUUGAACAGCUUAGGGUAGUACCACAGAGAAACAGGAAGGGGAUCUGGACCGCACCAUUUUGGAAAAUCCCAGUAAUAGGAGGCACGCACCACUAGGAGCUUGAUGGGAUCUGCUGGUGUUUUGAACAUCCCUAGUGGUGGAGUGGAGAACGGAUUGCAGGAAUCAGAGAGAGCUUUUGCCAAGAUGAGAAGACUAGGAGCCAUGUUUGGGAAGGGAAGAACAGGUGACCCGUUUAGAGUGCAAAGAGCCUCUCUCCAGCCAGCGAGUACUCCUUCCUCCCCAAUGCCGGCGCCCACCUCAGCAGCCCCUUCCCUGACCUCCACUCACAUCCCCCCCAGGGAAUCCCAUAAUUCCUCCCUUCAGGCCCCUUACC